rnacentral:rRNA from 1 species
AAAUUUCUUGUUUAAAGCAUCUUUUAGGUAGUUAAACCACUAGGAUUAGAUACCCUAUUAGUCUAUCCUUAAUUAACCUGGGUAGUAAUAUUAAAACCUAAAGAAUUUGGCGGUUUCUAAACUUACUAGAGGAACCUGUCCCGUAAACGACAAUCCACGAAAAAAUCAACCCAAACUUGUUAUUCAGCUUAUAUACCGUCGUUUAGGGGAUUAAACAAAUAGAUCUCCUUAAGAGCUUAGGCUAAUAAAUCAGAUCAAGGUGUAGCUUAUGUUUGGGUGAGGAUGGGUUACAAUGAAAAUUCAUACGGAACCUUUAUAUUACUGCAAAGGAGAAGGUGGAUUUAGAAGUAAGACCUAACACACUGAAGAAAGCCCUGAGAAAUGUACACAUCGCCCGUCGCUCUCUUGUCCGAAGAGAUAAGUCGUAACAAAGUAGGUGUAUCGGAAGGUUCAUCUUGAAAGA